GUGGGUUGCAGGGCAAGGCUGGAACCCAGGUCUUGCUGAUUCAGAUCAGAAGUUAACGCCUACACUGACCAGAGUCAAACACAGAGCUGGUAUGUCUCAUAGAAAAGGCACAGAUUCCUUGUCAUUACAAACACUCUGGUUAAUGCUCAGAUUUUUGAUAUAUCCUGCAUGAACCAUUUCAGCUCAAGGCACCAUGAGUCCAGUGUUAAAAAUUAUGCAGGAAUAAGAGUGACAGAUUCUAGACCAAAGACCUGGAUUUUAGUUGACUGAUUUGCCUUUAGGUGUGGGCCCUUUGGUGUUAUUAAUGGGGGUGUCUCACAUUGGGACUAGAAGGGUGGGCUUUGGAGUCUGCCCAGACUCUUCUAGGCCUCUGUCUUCUUCUGGGAGAGAGGAAAAAGUAGCAUCAGUGCUCUCAUGGGGUGAGGAGGAAAUGAGCAAAUGUGUGUGAGAUGCUCAGGCCUGCCCAGGAUGGACUAUGGCUGUUAAUAUUAUUAGUAGUAUUAAAUGCAAUGGCCUGAGGCCAAUCACUUAACCUCCAUAAGCUUCCAUUUCCUCAUCUGCAAAAUAGGGAAAGAAAAAUUGCUGCUGCACUUGAUUGCUGUGAGGUUCAAAAGGAAAACCUCUGUAUGCUGUAAAUAAUUACACCAGCCCUUGCAACCAAUUAAAAUCUUCUCCCUGCUUUAAAUGGCUUGAUUAGACACUCACUGUUUUCCAAGGCUGAGCAUUAUUGGGCAUUGGCGUGUAGUUUUUAAAGGAAGUGUCUG
rnacentral:lncRNA from 10 species